rfam:Postia placenta Mad-698-R POSPLscaffold_279_Cont7925, whole genome shotgun sequence.
ACACUGAUGGUGAAACGGUAUCAUGCUUGCCUUCCAAGUAUAUCUAUCAGCAAGCGGCGCGGGUUCGACUCCCGCUCAGUGUA